CUUGUCUCAAGACUAAGCCAUGCAUGUCUAAGUAUAAACGCUUCUAUACUGUGAAACUGCGAAUGGCUCAUUAAAUCAGUUAUAGUUUAUUUGAUGGUUCCUUACUACUUGGAUAACCGUAGUAAUUCUAGAGCUAAUACAUGCAGAAAGUCCCGACUUCUUGGAAGGGAUGUAUUUAUUAGAUCCAAAACCAGCGCGAGUUUCCUUCGGGGGCUCGGUUGCAUGGUGAUUCAUGAUAACUGCUCGAAUCGCAUGGCCUUGCGCCGGCGAUGAUCCAUUCAAAUUUCUGCCCUAUCAACUUUCGAUGGCAAGGUAGUGGCUUGCCAUGGUGACAACGGGUGACGGAGAAUUAGGGUUCGAUUCCGGAGAGGGAGCCUGAGAAACGGCUACCACAUCCAAGGAAGGCAGCAGGCGCGCAAAUUACCCAAUCCCAACUCGGGGAGGUAGUGACAAUAAAUAACAAUGCUGGGCUAUCGUAGUCUGGCAAUUGGAAUGAGUACAAUCUAAACCCCUUAACGAGGAACAAUUGGAGGGCAAGUCUGGUGCCAGCAGCCGCGGUAAUUCCAGCUCCAAUAGCGUAUAUUAAAGUUGUUGCAGUUAAAAAGCUCGUAGUUGGAUUUCGGGGCAGCCCGGCUGGUCCGUCGCGAGGCGAGUACUGGUCGGCCGCCCUUCCUCUCGAAAGCCCCGACUGCUCUUCACUGCAGUGGUCGGGGAGUUCGGGACGUUUACUUUGAAAAAAUUAGAGUGUUCAAGGCAGGCCAUCGCCUGAAUACAUUAGCAUGGAAUAAUGGAAGAGGACCUCGGUCCUAUUUUGUUGGUUUCUAGGGCCGAAGUAAUGAUUAAGAGGGACAGUUGGGGGCAUUCGUAUUUAAUUGUCAGAGGUGAAAUUCUCGGAUUUAUGAAAGACGAACAACUGCGAAAGCAUUUGCCAAGGAUGUUUUCAUUAAUCAAGAACGAAAGUUAGGG
rnacentral:rRNA from 1 species